GACGAACGCUGGCGGCGUGCUUAACACAUGCAAGUCGAACGGAAAGGCCUCUUUCGGGGGGUACUCGAGUGGCGAACGGGUGAGUAACACGUGAGUAACCUGCCCUUGACUUUGGAAUAACUUCAGGAAACUGGGGCAAAAACGGGAUGGAGCUUCCGGUGGCAGGGGGGGGGUGGGAAAGUUCCGGCGGUGGGGGAUGGACUCGCGGCUUAUCGGCUUGUUGGUGGGGUAGUGGCUUACCAAGGCUUUGACGGGUAGCCGGCCUGGGAGGGUGACCGGCCACAUUGGGACUGAGAUACGGCCCAGACUCCUACGGGAGGCAGCAGUGGGGAAUAUUGCACAAUGGGUGGAAGCCUGAUGCAGCAACGCCGUGUGCGGGAUGACGGCCUUCGGGUUGUAAACCGCUUUCGCUCAUGACGAAGCUUUGUGUGACGGUAGUGGGUAAAGAAGCACCGGCUAACUACGUG
rnacentral:rRNA from 1 species